rnacentral:rRNA from 1 species
CGGGACGGGGUGGAGUAACGCGUGGGUAACCUGCCUUGUACUGGGGGACGAACAGUUAGAAAUGACUGCUAAUACCGCAUAAGCGCACAGUAUCGCAUGAUACAGUGUGAAAAACUCCGGUGGUACAAGAUGGACCCGCGUCUGAUUAGCUAGUUGGUAAGGUAACGGCUUACCAAGGCGACGAUCGGUAGCCGGACUGAGAGGUUGAACGGCCACAUUGGGACUGAGACACGGCCCAG